GGGUCUUGGGAUAUUUGGGGUUAAGUGUCCUUGGGUUUGAAUAGUACUAAAUUGGGUGACCUUCUGGGAAGUCCAAAUUCAGGAGCUU
rnacentral:rRNA from 1 species